rnacentral:rRNA from 1 species
GAGGAGCCUGCGGCGGAUUAGCUAGUUGGUAGGGUAACGGCCUACCAAGGCGACGAUCCGUAGCCGGCCUGAGAGGGCGGUCGGCCACACUGACACUGACAUACGGGUCAGACUCCUACGGGAGGCAGCAGUCGGGAAUUUUGGGCAAUGGGCGAAAGCCUGACCCAGCAACGCCGCGUGAAGGAUGAAAUCCCUCGGGAUGUAAACUACGCAAGAACGGGAAGAGUAAACCUGCGCGAAUAACACAGGUGAUGACGGUACCGUUUGUAAGCUCCGGCUAACUCCGUGCCAGCAGCCGCGGUAAUACGGGGGGAGCAAGCGUUGUUCGGAUUUACUGGGCGUAAAGGGCGCGUAGGCGGCCACCGCAAGUCAGUUGUGAAAUCUCCGGGCUUAACUCGGAAAGGUCAACUGAUACUGCGGGGCUAGAGUGCGGAAGGGGCAACUGGAAUUCUCGGUGUAGCGGUGAAAUGCGUAGAUAUCGGGAGG